UGGGCUAAAUCUGUGGCGCCCCGAAGGGAAGCCCCCUUUCGGGAGCGGUCGCCACAGAUUUAGCCCAGGUAAGGUUCUUCGCGUUGCAUCGAAUUAAGCCACAUGCUCCACCGCUUGUGCGGGCCCCCGUCAAUUCCUUUGAGUUUCAUUCUUGCGAACGUACUCCCCAGGUGGUAUGCUUACUGCGUUAACUGCGUCACUGCCCCCGAAGGGACAACAACUAGCAUACAUCGUUUACGGCGUGGACUAC
rnacentral:misc_RNA from 1 species